rnacentral:rRNA from 1 species
UCUUGGUCAUUUAGAGGAAGUAAAAGUCGUAACAAGGUCUCCGUAGGUGAACCUGCGGAGGGAUCAUUACAAGUGACCCCGGUCUAACCACCGGGAUGUUCAUAACCCUUUGUUGUCCGACUCUGUUGCCUCCGGGGCGACCCUGCCUUCGGGCGGGGGCUCCGGGUGGACACUUCAAACUCUUGCGUAACUUUGCAGUCUGAGUAAACUUAAUUAAUAAAUUAAAACUUUUAACAACGGAUCUCUUGGUUCUGGCAUCGAUGAAGAACGCAGCGAAAUGCGAUAAGUAAUGUGAAUUGCAGAAUUCAGUGAAUCAUCGAAUCUUUGAACGCACAUUGCGCCCCCUGGUAUUCCGGGGGGCAUGCCUGUUCGAGCGUCAUUUCACCACUCAAGCCUCGCUUGGUAUUGGGCAACGCGGUCCGCCGCGUGCCUCAAAUCGACCGGCUGGGUCUUCUGUCCCCUAAGCGUUGUGGAAACUAUUCGCUAGAGGGUGUUCGGGAGGCUACGCCGUAAAACAACCCCAUUUCUAAGGUUGACCUCGGAAUCAAGGUAGGGAUACCCGCUUGAACUUAAGCAUAUCAAUAAGCGGAGGAAAAGAAACCAACAGGGAUUGCCCCAGUAACGGCGAAUCAC